ACUUGAUUAAAAUGAAAAGCUAUUGGAGAAGACAGUGUUCAAAUGUGUGAAUAACUCUGUUUUCCUCCUCAGUACCUGACCCUAAAGCUUGCUUAGAUCUGGUUCUUGAGUCUGUCACAGUCCUCAGUGAGUCCCCAAACCUGGGAUCCAGUGGCUUCGAAUUUCAUUAUCAAUGCUUUCUGAGCUCAAACAUCAUUUAAGGCUGACACUGAUUUGUUUCUCAGGUCACAUCAUCAAAGGGGCUCCAGGCUUUGCAUUCAGACAACGUGGUUUGCAUCCCUGCUCCUGGAGGUGAGACUUUGAAAGCUAAACUCAUCAGCUUUCACUGGCUCAGAAAAAGAAAAUGGCUACGUGGAGCAGAGGAAGGGAAAAUUUCCCCUUGCUUUUGGGUUUCAAAAGCACAGAUUCUGAGAAGGUUCUCAGAUUACCCAACUAAGACUGGAAACAAAAUCGGUCACUGGAGAGAGAAGAUAGUCAGACAAGAAGUAUGGAUCAGCUCCUAAGAAAGAAGUACUGUGUGCCCUGCUCUGUGCACCUAGCCCAGACCAGGCUGUGGGAUGCUACUGGAAAAUCCAGGUGGAUUUGUAGGAUCUGAAAGCAGAGGAGGAUCUCCUAGCCCUGUCCUAGGGGGAGUCCUGGGUAAGUGACAAGGUUGAGGAAGAGACAUGUCUGUGUUGUGUCUGGGCAGAAUGGAUAUGCUGUUAGACACAUAGAAUUCCUCUGAAUUCCAGUAAGGCCUGGGAGCUGCAGAAUGAUGGCUGUGUGCCCUGGAGUGGCCCAGAAAUAGCAGAAAGAGAGAGAGAGCAAGUGCCACUGAACCCAGAGAAAUCUGGGGGAGUUGGAGGUGCAGGC
rnacentral:lncRNA from 9 species